rnacentral:rRNA from 1 species
UACGGGGGGGGCAAGCGUUGUUCGGAAUUACUGGGCGUAAAGGGUUCGUAGGUGGCCAACUAAGUCAGACGUGAAAUCCCUCAGCUUAACUGGGGAACUGCGUCUGAGACUGGAUGGCUUGAGUGCAGGAGAGGAACGCGGAAUUCCAGGUGUAGCGGUGAAAUGCGUAGAUAUCGGGAGGAAUACCGAUGGCGAAGGCAGGUCUCUGGGCUGACACUGACGCUCAUGCACGAAAGCGUGGGGAGCAAACAGG